UCAGCUCUUACUCCUGGCCAGUCCUAUCUCUGCCCCUCAGCCUAUGAUGGGGCGAAUCUUUCACAUCGAGAUUUUCCCCACCAGACUAAGAAGCAACAUUUCAAAACUAAUUUGCAGUCUCAAAUUCAAAUCAUGCACAUGUACCAUAUACAAGUCAGCCAUAUCCUACUCUAUAGACAAGAAAAAGAAAACAGCAUUAUCUACUUAGAAAAUGAAGGCUCCUGCCUAUUACCUGAGCGAGAGUUCUGCCUUACUGAGCCUUCAUAACGUUGCUGGAGAAACACAGGUCGGUUGUCAUUGAUGUCCUUCACUUCGAUGGUGACAGGGACCGGGCCCUCCACUGUAUUGCCCUGAGCAUCCAGGGCUGAGACCUGAUGUUGACAGGAAAAAGAAAGCUUCUCGAAAUGAAGAAAAUGUCAAUGAUCCUUCAUGGGACAGCUAUAGUACUUUUAAGACCACAGAAGAGAAAAUUCACUUAAAAGCAGACAGAAAAGUCAUUCAACCUCAUUAACAAUUUUAAUAUAUUUUUCUAUAUUCACAAGUUAAAAAUCAAUAAUAGCCAAUGUUGUAAAAGCUCAUGUAAAGAAUGGAAAGAAGCACAUAUAUUAUUAACGAAAAUAUAAAUUAGCAUAAUCCUUUCGGAAAUAACUUGAGGCAUAAAAUGUUUAUAGACUUUAAUAGCAAACAUUACUAAACAGAAUUUAUCCUAAGGAAAUACUUUUUAAACAAUAAGUGGCAUGUGCUCCACAAAAAAAGAAGUCGCUGCAAUGACAAGCCUGCUCAGGGCAAUAAAGAGUUAGCCCUGCUCACCAUAGCUAGAGAAAGCCCACAUGCAGCAAGGAAGACCCAGCGCAGCCAUAAAUAAAUAAAAAAUUAUUUUAAAAAAGAAACUAAAUAAAUGAUGACUAAACUAACCCAAAGCAAGCAGAAGGAAAUAUAAAGCGGAAAUUAAUGAAAUGGAGAAUACAAAA